UCUCAGCUGCUGUGUCUUAUGGCUUUUUAUUCCUAUGUGAUAAUAAAUGGAUCUCAUGUAGGGAUACAAGCCACUAAACACACAGUGAACU
rnacentral:pre_miRNA from 1 species